CAGCAGCAGCCGCGGGAAUACGUAGGGUGCGAGCGUUAAUCGGAAUUACUGGGCGUAAAGCGUGCGCAGGCGGUUGUGCAAGACAGAUGUGAAAUCCCCGAGCUUAACUUGGGAACUGCAUUUGUGACUGGCAAGCUAGAGUGUGGCAGAGGGGGGUGGAAUUCCGCGUGUAGCAGUGAGAUGCGUAGAUAUGCGGAGGAACACCGAUGGCGAAGGCAGCCCCCUGGGCCAACACUGACGCUCAUGCACGAAAGCGUGGGGAGCAAACAGGAUUAGAGACCCCCGUAGUCCCUGUCUCUUAUAC
rnacentral:rRNA from 1 species